ACAUUCAAUGCAUCCUAGUCCUAGGACGCACUCCUCGAUCCACACAGGCGGCAUCUGCCCAGGAGCUAUAAACACACCAGCCCCGCAAGGGGCCGCUGCCACAUUCUCCACGCCAUUCUCCCGCCGUCCGAAUCGAUGCUGGCCCAGCGCGCAGGGAGUAGCCUCCCCGCCACAAGGGCAAGGGGGGACCCCCAACCGCCGACAAUGAUGAACUACCAUUCUUCCCUUUCAACAAUUUCACGUACUUUUUUCUCUUCUUUUCGAAGUUCUUUUCAUCUUUUCAUUGCUGUAGUUGUUCAUUAUCGGCCUCUCGCCAUUAAUUAGCUUUUGAUGGAAAUUACCAACCACUUACAGCUGUAUUCCCCAACUACUCUACUCUUCGGAUCUCUACUAGGAGCAGGGGGGCCUCGUCGCAGGACAUUAUCAUCAUCUGCUGACGACGUGCUGCUAGGAACAUAUAGGCGAGGGCGCCUGAGUAGUCUUCUUCUUCUUACUACACUCGGGCUGCGCCACGAACAGCAUAUAACAAGAUGUGUUCUGCUGCUUCGUCGUAGUGACUGAGUCAUGCUGUGCUUCUCUCCUCUAUUAUAUACAUGA
rnacentral:rRNA from 1 species